rnacentral:lncRNA from 1 species
GGUCACAUGACGUCUGCCCGCUAGACAUGUACACCUUACAAUCAUUCCAUACAACAAAUAUAGUAGACCAAUUGCAAAUAGUAUGAGAACAACAGACCAAAACACAAAAACUUAACUAUAACCACUGAACCAUGAAAAUGAGGUCAAGGUCAGAUGACACCUGCCAGUUGGACAUGUACACCUUACAGUCCUUCCAUACACCGAAUAUACUAGCCCUAUUGCUUAUAGUAUCUGAGAUAUGGACUUGACCACCAAAACUUAACCUUGUUCACUGAUCCAUGAAAUGAGGUCGAGGUCAAGUGAAAACUGUCUGACAGACAUUAGGACCUUGCAAGGUACGCACAUAUCAAAUAUAGUUAUCCUAUUACUUAUAAUAAGAGAGAAUUCAACAUUACAAAAAAUUUGAAAUUUUUUUUCAAGUGUUCACUGAACCAUGAAAAUGAGGUCAAGGACAUUGGACAUGUGACUGACGGAAACUUCGUAACAUGAGGCAUCUAUAUACAAAGUAUGAAGCAUCCAGGUCUUCCACCUUCUAAAAUAUAAAGCUUUUAAGAAGUUAGCUAACGCCGCCGCCGUAGCCGCCGCCGCCGGAUCACUAUCCCUAUGUCGAGCUUUCUGCAACAAAAGUUGCAGGCUCGACAACAAUUCCACAAUAAGUGGUGCACAGUUAGUCUCCAUUGGAAUUGACGAUAUACAGAAUCUCCAAAGCGAACAAAAAUUUUAUCAAGUAAAAAUUCAAGCGUAGAUAUAGUAUCAAAGCGUGUCCAAUUGACAUAGUUCUUUUGUUUGUUGCUACUUAAAAAUUUGUAAGGGUUCUGCGGAACCCAGUGUCUCGCCUACUUUUGCUGUAAAUUGCAGGAUCAACAAAAAUGAGCGAAAAAAUCAAUAAAAAUAUUCUGCUUGAUACCAUGUUUGGAUUGAAGGAAGCUUCUGUCUAAGUUUGGUAAAAAAUCCUGGAUAGUUUAUGAAUC